UGAGAAGGGCAAACCAGCCGUGAGGCCGGGACGCAAAACUACAGGGUCUCGUUCUAUUGAGACAGCCAGCUGCCA
rnacentral:ncRNA from 1 species